CGAGGGAGCGCUCCUGAAAGGGAUGAGAAUGAUCCGUGAACCCUCGAGUCACGCUAGUUGUUCGGUGGCGAACCCGCAACUGAGCGGCUCCCUGCAACAGCAACAACACACACACACACAAAAAGCCGCAUUCGCCAAACGUGGCCGAUCGUGGUGGAACCGUGCGAAGUGAAGGACGCAAUUGGAAGUGUGAGCCAAAGUGACCUUGUAUGAGAAGACAACAAUUAAGGAUCUGUGAAGAAGCAGAAAUGUUUUCAUAGAAACUACACUCAGGCCAGGAGGAUGAGAAUCAAAAUGGGUGACAGCAGAUAAAAGUGCCGCCUGACCUGCUGAAUGUUUCCGGCAUUUGCUGCUUUUAUUUCGGAUGUUUGGAGUCUUUUGAUUUAUAUUUUCACUCCAAUGAUGAGUCGCACUAAGGAUGAACACGUUACUCCAGUGACUGCAUAGGUGGUGAUUGGUGAUGUCCAAAUUCAUGCCACCUGCCGCGUUAGCUCAACAGCUUCUUCCAACUGGAGAUGGCAAUUUUGCCAGAGAAACCAUAUCCUAAGAAGAAAAGAAAAUCGGACUACUUUCUUUGCUGGAGCUUUGGUCUCAAGGCCUCCAUGGUUUGGCAACUGCUCUGUCCAAGACCGCUGGAAAUUGCAACGUUGAGAAAGCAGCCCAGUCCAUCACGAAAACCUUCUUCCCCCACUAUCAACUCCAUCUGCACUACACUCUGCCUCGGAAAAACAACCACCUCAUGUUGCAAUUG